GCCAUCUUGGCGCAAUGGAACAGUGUUUCAUUGUAAACGCAACGGUUGUGGGAUCGAUUCCCACAAGGGAGA
rnacentral:tRNA from 1 species